ACAAGACUGGAAGCAGGUGAGACGCGCAAGGGAAGGACUUCAAGCUGCGUGGAAAGAGGGGUGGCUUGGGGGACCCGGCACCUCGGGGAUGGGGCUGGUUUGCAGGUCAGCGCAUGGACAUCUGCCCAGAAAGCGACAAAGACGGCGAAGUUUGACGGUCUGGAAAGCAGAGACCAGCGGGGCUGACUACCUGGGAGCACGGAGACUCCGGACAGCGCCUCUCGGGGUCCAGGGAGGGAACCGCGACCUGCUUCAGCACACGCGUCUGGACAGCUCCCAGCAGGUCCCGGCCGGCUUCAUUGCAGCCGCAGGGCACGGACGGCUCCCCAGAUGAGAUGACACGGCACACAGAAGUCUGUAAUGCCCAACAGGUACGAUGAUCAAGCUGUAGGGCUGUGGGGGAAUGGGUGCCUGCCAACAUGACAUUAUUGUGCUCUUUCUAGACUUCUUUGAGAAACAUUGGGUUAGUCAUUUUACAUACAUUAUGUCAUGCCAUCUUCAACUUCAGGACAUGGGAGUUAUUACAUCCAGGUGACCGUUGAGGACACUGAGACCCGGAGAGGGACAGGUCAAGGGGUCUCAGGCCAAGGGUGAAUCUGCAAGUCAACCCCACAUCCUGCCAACUCCAAAUUCCAUGCUUCAUGGGUGGGAGUUGGGCCCUUGGAGAUCAGCUCCUUCCUCUCCCCAGGAGGACCAGGAAUGGAAGACAGGAGGUGGUGGAGAAGCAAGAAGCCCAUAUGCUACAACUUGGCUCAGUUCCAUGGACCAACUACAGGACAGGUGUAAACUUGUGCCCGGUAGGUGAGUUGUGGCAUCAGCGAGGGGUCACCCCCAGUUCUCUGCGACAUCCUAAUCAAGUCGAGGACACCACAUUGAAGUCAUUCCAGCCUCAGAGCCUUGGUCUUUGCUGCUCCCUCAUCUUGGAAUGCUCUGCCUCCCAGAGCACCCUACGGGCUCCCUCUCCCUUCUUAUCCCAGCCUCAUUUCACCAAGGGAAACUUUCCUUGCUGCCUCACCACCCACCUCAUCAAGUCUGUGUUAUACACUCUCAUAGACCUGGGAUGUCUUCUCUCCAGCACUUACUCCGAUUAUUGUUAACUGUUCACAGGACUGUGUCACCCCCAUUACACUGUGAGCUCCAUGAGGGCAGAGACUGCGUUUGUGUUUUUCACUGCCGUGGCCCCAGCACCUAACCAGGGCCUGGCACACAGCAGGCGCUCAAUAAACAUUGGUUGAAUCAA